rnacentral:rRNA from 1 species
GAUGAACGCUGGCGGCGUGCCUAAUACAUGCAAGUCGAGCGAACAGACGAGGAGCUUGCUCCUCUGACGUUAGCGGCGGACGGGUGAGUAACACGUGGAUAACCUACCUAUAAGACUGGGAUAACUUCGGGAAACCGGAGCUAAUACCGGAUAAUAUAUUGAACCGCAUGGUUCAAUAGUGAAAGACGGUUUUGCUGUCACUUAUAGAUGGAUCCGCGCCGCAUUAGCUAGUUGGUAAGGUAACGGCUUACCAAGGCAACGAUGCGUAGCCGACCUGAGAGGGUGAUCGGCCACACUGGAACUGAGACACGGUCCAGACCCCUACGGAAGGCAGCAGGAGGGAAUCUUCCGCAAUGGGCGAAGGCCUGACGGAGCAACGCCGCGUGAGUGAUGAAGGUCUUCGGAUCGUAAAACUCUGUUAUUAGAGAAAAACAAAUGUGUAAGUAACUAUGCACGUCUUGACGGUACCUAAUCAGAAAGCCACGGCUAACUACGU